rnacentral:rRNA from 1 species
GUGAGGAAUAUUGGUCAAUGGGCGGAAGCCUGAACCAGCCAUCCCGCGUGAAGGAAGACAGCCUUACGGGUUGUAAACUUCUUUUCUGUUUGAAGAAUAAGCCCGUUGAGACGGGUGAUGCCGGUAGGACAGGAAUAAGCAUCGGCUAACUCCGUGCCAGCAGCCGCGGUAAUACGGAGGAUGCAAGCGUUAUCCGGAUUUAUUGGGUUUAAAGGGUGCGCAGGUGGUUUAAUAAGUCAGUGGUGAAAGUCUGUCGCUUAACGGUAGGAUUGCCAUUGAUACUGUUAGACUUGAAUAUGGGUGAGGUAAGUGGAAUGUGUAGUGUAGCGGUGAAAUGCAUAGAUAUUACACAGAACACCGAUUGCGAAGGCAGCUUACUAAUCCAUUAUUGACGCUGAGGCACGAAAGCGUGGGGAUCAAACAGGAUUAGAAACCCCAGUAGUCC